GUGCUUGCUUCAGCAGCACAUAUACUAAAAUUGGAAUGAUAUAGAGAUUAGCAUGGCCCAUGUGCAAGGAUGACAUACAAAUUGGUGAAGCAUUCCAUAUUUUA